rnacentral:snoRNA from 1 species
GCAGCGCCGAUGAUGAGUUUAGAUUGUACUAGGUUGAAUUCUGAUCGAAGAACCCUUUUCUGGGGUUUCCAACGAUGACCACCUGUGUUCCUCUCGAUUUGAGGCGCUAC